rnacentral:rRNA from 1 species
GAUGAACGCUGGCGGCGUGCCUAAUACAUGCAAGUCGAGCGAACGGACGAGAAGCUUGCUUCUCUGAUGUUAGCGGCGGACGGGUGAGUAACACGUGGAUAACCUACCUAUAAGACUGGGAUAACUUCGGGAAACCGUAGCUAAUACCGGAUAAUAUUUUGAACCGCAUGGUUCAAAAGUUAAAGACGGUCUUGCUGUCACUUAUAGAUGGAUCCGCGCUGCAUUAGCUAGUUGGUAAGGUAACGGCUUACCAAGGCAACGAUGCAUAGCCGACCUGAGAGGGUGAUCGGCCACACUGGAACUGAGACACGGUCCAGACUCCUACGGGAGGCAGCAGUAGGGAAUCUUCCGCAAUGGGCGAAAGCCUGACGGAGCAACGCCGCGUGAGUGAUGAAGGUCUUCGGAUCGUAAAACUCUGUUAUUAGGGAAGAACAUAUGUGUAAGUAACUGUGCACAUCUUGACGGUACCUAAUGAGAAAGCAACGGCUAACUACGUG